UCCAAGUUCAACAUUCCUCACAUUGCCUCUUUUUUGGAUAAAUUUCUUUUCAAAAAAAUAGCAUGCCUACUUACAACCAUCUUUUGUUCAGUAGGAUGGAAGAAAUAGUAUCCAUUAAUUUUUUUAAAAUAUCCUACAAACUUAUACUUGCCUGAUCUAGCAUUUAGCUUAUGCUUGAAAAUAUUUCCGACAUAAGCAGGACAGCCCC
rnacentral:lncRNA from 1 species